rnacentral:rRNA from 1 species
CAUGCAAGUCGAGGGGUAUAGUUCUUCGGAACUAGAGACCGGCGCACGGGUGCGUAACGCGUAUGCAAUCUACCUUUUGCAGAGGGAUAGCCCAGAGAAAUUUGGAUUAAUACCUCAUAGUAUGUGAGAAUGGCAUCAUUUUCACAUUAAAGUCACAACGGCAAAAGAUGAGCAUGCGUCCCAUUAGCUAGUUGGUAAGGUAACGGCUUACCAAGGCUACGAUGGGUAGGGGUCCUGAGAGGGAGAUCCCCCACACUGGUACUGAGACACGGACCAGACUCCUACGGGAGGCAGCAGUGAGGAAUAUUGGACAAUGGGCGCAAGCCUGAUCCAGCCAUGCCGCGUGCAGGAUGACGGUCCUAUGGAUUGUAAACUGCUUUUGUACAGGAAGAAACAGUUCUACGUGUAGAACCUUGACGGUACUGUAAGAAUAAGGAUCGGCUAACUCCGUGCUAGCAGCCGCGGUAAUACGGAGGAUCCAAGCGUUAUCCGGAAUCAUUGGGUUUAAAGGGUCCGUAGGCGGUUUAGUAAGUCAGUGGUGAAAGCCCAUCGCUCAACGGUGGAACGGCCAUUGAUACUGCUAGACUUGAAUUAUUAGGAAGUAACUAGAAUAUGUAGUGUAGCGGUGAAAUGCUUAGAGAUUACAUGGAAUACCAAUUGCGAAGGCAGGUUACUACUAAUGGAUUGACGCUGAUGGACGAAAGCGUGGGUAGCGAACAGGAUUAGAUACCCUGGUAGUCCACGCCGUAAACGAUGGAUACUAGCUGUUGGGGGCAACUUCAGUGGCUAAGCGAAAGUGAUAAGCAUCCCACCUGGGGGAGUACGUUCGCAAGAAUGAAACUCAAAGGAAUUGACGGGGGCCCGCACAAGCGGUGGAGCAUGUGGUUUAAUUCGAUGAUACGCGAGGAACCUUACCAAGGCUUAAAUGUAGAUUGACCGGUUUGGAAACAGACUUUUUCGCAAGACAAUUUACAAGGGUGCCUGCAUGGGUUUGUCGUUCAA